AUUGAACGCUGGCGGCAAGCCUAACACAUGCAAGUCGAGCGAGCGGCGGACGGGUGAGUAAUGUCUGGGAAACUGCCUGAUGGAGGGGGAUAACUACUGGAAACGGUAGCUAAUACCGCAUAUCCUCAGAUGUGCCAAGAUGGGACUAGCUAGUAGAUGGGGUAACGGCUCACCUAGGCGACGAGCCCUAGCUGGUCUGAGAGGCUGACCAGCCACACGGGGACUGAGACACUGUCCAGACUCCUACGGGAGGCAGCAGUGGGGAAUAUUGCACAAUGGGCGCAAGCCUGAUGCAGCCAUGCCGCGUGUGUUAAGAAGGCCUUCGGGUUGUAAAGCACUUUCAGCGGGGAGGCGUUACCCGCAGAGGAAGCACCGGCUAACUCCGUGCCAGCAGCCGCGGUAAUAC
rnacentral:rRNA from 1 species